GAUGAACGCUGGCGGCGUGCCUAAUACAUGCAAGUCGAGCGAACAGACGAGGAGCUUGCUUCUCUGACGUUAGCAGCGGACGGGUGAGUAACACGUGGAUAACCUACCUAUAAGACUGGGAUAACUUCGGGAAACCGGAGCUAAUACCGGAUAAUAUAUUGAACCGCAUGGUUCAAUAGUGAAAGACGGUUUUGCUGUCACUUAUAGAUGGAUCCGCGCCGCAUUAGCUAGUUGGUAAGGUAACGGCUUACCAAGGCAACGAUGCGUAGCCGACCUGAGAGGGUGAUCGGCCACACUGGAACUGAGACACGGUCCAGACUCCUACGGGAGGCAGCAGUAGGGAAUCUUCCGCAAAGGGCGAAAGCCUGACGGAGCAACGCCGCGUGAGUGAUGAAGGUCUUCGGAUCGUAAAACUCUGUUAUUAGGGAAGAACAAAUGUGUAAGUAACUAUGCACGUCUUGACGGUACCUAAUCAGAAAGCCACGGCUAACUACGUG
rnacentral:rRNA from 1 species